GAUGAACGCUGGCGGCGUGCCUAAUACAUGCAAGUCGAGCGAACAGACGAGGAGCUUGCUCCUCUGACGUUAGCGGCGGACGGGUGAGUAACACGUGGAUAACCUACCUAUAAGACUGGGAUAACUUCGGGAAACCGGAGCUAAUACCGGAUAAUAUAUUGAACCGCAUGGUUCAAUAGUGAAAGACGGUUUUGCUGUCACUUAUAGUUGGAUCCGCGCCGCAUUAGCUAGUUGGUAAGGUAACGGCUUACCAAGGCAACGAUGCGUAGCCGACCUGAGAGGGUGAUCGGCCACACUGGAACUGAGACACGGUCCAGACUCCUACGGGAGGCAGCAGUAGGGAAUCUUCCCAAUGGGCGAAAGCCUGACGGAGCAACGCCGCGUGAGUGAUGAAGGUCUUCGGAUCGUAAAACUCUGUUAUUAGGGAAGAACAAAUGUGUAAGUAACUAUGCACGUCUUGACGGUACCUAAUCAGAAAGCCACGGCUAACUACGUG
rnacentral:rRNA from 1 species